rnacentral:rRNA from 1 species
UGGGGAAUAUUGCACAAUGGGCGCAAGCCUGAUGCAGCCAUGCCGCGUGUGUGAAGAAGGCCUUCGGGUUGUAAAGCACUUUCAGCGGGGAGGAAGGCGUUAAGGUUAAUAACCUUGGCGAUUGACGUUACCCGCAGAAGAAGCACCGGCUAACUCCGUGCCAGCAGCCGCGGUAAUACGGAGGGUGCAAGCGUUAAUCGGAAUUACUGGGCGUAAAGCGCACGCAGGCGGUCUGUCAAGUCGGAUGUGAAAUCCCCGGGCUCAACCUGGGAACUGCAUUCGAAACUGGCAGGCUAGAGUCUUGUAGAGGGGGGUAGAAUUCCAGGUGUAGCGAUGAAAUGCGUAGAGAUCUGGAGGAAUACCGGUGGCGAAGGCGGCCCCCUGGACGAAGACUGACGCUCAGGUGCGAAAGCGUGGGGAGCAAACAGG